AUGGGUAUGUGUUCCAACAAGAAGCGCAGCAGCCCUGGCGUUGCUGUGUGGUGUGUAGUCCUGGGCAUAGCCCUGCUCGUCGUCGACGCGGCGGGCAGUGAAGGUCGUGCGAGAGCCGGGGACUUGGCUGAAGAGCAUGGGGAUGCAGCCUACUGCUCCGCCUUGUGCAAAGGCCGGUCGCAGUCGGACUUCGGACCGUGCUACAAUGAGUGCUUGUACGGGAGGGUGACAGGACAAGAAGAAGCAAGAGGAGGUGGUGGAGUUGGAGGGCCAGCUGGUCUCCUGGAGAUGCCGACGAAACGCGUUGGACGGGAGGAAGAAGAGAAGACAAAGCAAGGGGACGCCACCGUCCGUUUGAGCGACCCAGUCUGGUGCUACGACGCUUGCCGCGAACAUCCAGAAUUGAACUACAACCAAUGCGUCAAUGAUUGCUACGCUGAGAAUAUGCCGGACGCCGCAUGGCUGGCGGCCCUUGGAGGAACCGGAGGAGAAGAAGCAAGAGGAGGAGUGGUUGAUGUCCCAAUGGUGGUGGUGCAGCAUGAGGCUGCUGCAGGUGCACUGUCACGGGGCAACUGCGAUGAGUAUUGCCGCAAACACUAUGAUGAAGGCUCCCCCGGGUAUAGGCACUGCCAGUAUAUGUGCCCACAUCUGAGGGUCCACGGGGUAGCAGAAGGAGAAGAAGCAAGAGGAGGAGCUGUUGAUGGGCCGACGGUGGUGGGGAGACCCCACUGCGACUGGUUCCGCGACUGUAGUGUAACGCCAUGCGUCUGGCGAUGUGGGAAGAGGGUGCAAGAGAAGGACAAUGAAGGAACAAGAACAGGAGCGCUCAAUGUCCUGGCGGCUGCGCGGCAUGAGGUUGCUGUAGGAGCAUGUUCGUCGACUGUGUACGUGCAAUCAUGCUAUGCCUGUUGCCAAAGGGAGGUUACUAGAGAUCCGGAUUUCGACUGGUAUGCUUGCAUUCGCAGUUGCGAUGACAAAGAUGCUCUCCCAAUCAAGAAGGAGCGAGAGAACAAGAAGUACGGCGUAGUCCCGCCGGCGAAGUAG
rnacentral:rRNA from 1 species